GCAUGGGUCUUAUCAUUCAUGUGCAUCUGCAGCCUCUUCACAUGUUACCCCCAUCCCCAGAUGGAGUCUAACCUCAUACAGGUGAACUCCUCCUGGGAUGAACACCUGUCUCAGGUGAGAUGCCAUGAUGUGGGAAGGGUUCCUGAAGUUAGUCUUGGCCAGCUCCUGAUCCAGCUGCCCAGGUUAAAGAUGCUGGAGUGGAUGGCUGCACUGCACUGA
rnacentral:lncRNA from 1 species